CAGCACAUUAGCUGCACUUGGCACUUCUUCCUCAUGUGAAGGAAGAAGCGGCGAGAAUCAGAUGGAUACAUUUUGCCUGGGGUGGGGGGUGGUUCUGGAGGAGGGGGUUGUGAAGGUUGAGUGGCUGUCGGGUUUUUCCUUCAUUUUUUUUUUUCUCUUUUGGUUCAGUUCAAGAGUGCCAGUGGGAAGCAGAGACACCUGGUGCUGCCUUCAAGCAGUAGCUAAGUGGAAAGCAGCAACUUGGAAAGAGGAAUUUCAGCAGAAACAUCUGUGUCAAAGUUGAUAUACUUCUAUUAAACGUGACAACAACGCUUUCCUCCGGAAACCGGAACGCAGAGAACGGAACCGAGUUCAGCAGGAGCCAGGCGGCUGUGAGGUCGGAGAGGUGCAUUAUUUAGUGGGACAGAAGGAGUUCGCGGGCUGGAGGAGCGAGUGUGUUCACAGGACAGGAGGAGAGAUGCGGGUGGAGGGGAGGACCUGUUCCUGUGACAAUAUCUCCAAAAACCAAUGACAGGUCUUCAAUCCCCAUCUGUGUCCCAGCCUCUUUAAGGUGUCAGACGCUUCAAGCAAUUGUCACUGCCCAAGACGAAGAACUCCUAACCUCACCUGCUAUGCCUCCUCUCUUCUUCUGUGUCACUCAAGAGAGGUGUCCAGCGGUGACACCUGCCAGAGGGCAUCAGUGUUCUACUUAGACUUUAUUUUUUGCCUCUGUCAAAUACUCAAGAAUGUCCUUACAGUCGACAGCCUCAAAGAUUACAGUUAAUGUAAUGCCCCAUAUUUAAAGUCACUGUAGAAAUCUAUAGAUGUACUGCUCAAAAUUAAGACAAAAUAUCCUGUUUAAUUGUUCAGCCCCUCGUGAUAGAGGGUUAUCAGAAUAACGCAUCAUAAUCAUAUCAGUCUCUCUCAUUCAACGCUUCAAAAGGCGAUUUUGCGAGCAAGAAAUCUGCAAUAAAUAAAAAUAGUUAGCACCGUUCCAAACUCGCCCCAGACCGAUGCAAAACACGGCAUGUGAAAUGGAAUGUAAAAAAACAAAAUGAGAGAAGGUCAGCCAGGAAUUCAAAUGGAAGACAUUUGCAGUUCCAACAAGACCGGGAGUGUGAGCACACAUCUGAACCUCAGUCCUUGCUGGAAUAAUUGCGGGAGCACAUCUGGUGCACUUUGAAAAUGAAUUGGCCCAGCACUGCUAUGAUAAUGACUGCACGGUAGUCUAAUAAGUUAGGGAAUGCUGCAUUCCAAAUGUCACCCUGGGUCGGUCCAGCACUUACUUAGUUCAUUUAGUUGCAUAGAGUUUGAUUCCAGCUCCCUUUGCUACAAACUCCAUUCCCUGAUGCAUUUGCUUUGCAAUUAAAUGUAACAAAACACUUAUUUUGCCUUCCUCUAGUUUGUUUAAACUCCCAGUAAUAAGGUCCCAUUAAGUUAUUAACUAACAAUGAGCGAUACAUUUGUUGCAACAUUUAUCCAUCUUUGUUAACAUUAGUUACUAAAAAUACAACUGUUCAUUGUAAUUUCAUGUUAGCUUGGGUCCAUUAAAUAAUAUUUACAGAUACAGCGUUUGACUUUAAUAAUGUGUUAGUAAAUGCUGAAAUUAAUGUUAACAAAGAUUACGUUCAUGUAGUUAACUAAUAU